rnacentral:pre_miRNA from 10 species
AUAAAUUAAUUUUCUACUUCUGCUUCUGCUUUUGGGAAGAAGCAGAAUUUUCUGCUUCUUCCCAAAAGCAGAAGCAAAAGUAGAAUUAAUUUAUU